AUGAACGCUGGCGGCGUGCCUAAUACAUGCAAGUCGAGCGAACGGACGGGAAGCUUGCUUCUCUGAUGUUAGCGGCGGACGGGUGAGUAACACGUGGAUAACCUACCUAUAAGACUGGGAUAACUUCGGGAAACCGGAGCUAAUACCGGAUAAUAUUUUGAACCGCAUGGUUCAAAAGUGGAAGACGGUCUUGCUGUCACUUAUAGAUGGAUCCGCGCUGCAUUAGCUAGUUGGUAAGGUAACGGCUUACCAAGGCAACGAUGCAUAGCCGACCUGAGAGGGUGAUCGGCCACACUGGAACUGAGACACGGUCCAGACUCCUACGGGAGGCAGCAGUAGGGAAUCUUCCGCAAUGGGCGAAAGCCUGACGGAGCAACGCCGCGUGAGUGAUGAAGGUCUUCGGAUCGUAAAACUCUGUUAUUAGGGAAGAACAUAUGUGUAAGUAACUGUGCACAUCUUGACGGUACCUAAUCAGAAAGCCACGGCUAACUACGUG
rnacentral:rRNA from 1 species